AAGGGAAUUGAUCCUCCAUCACUAGACCUACUUGCAAGAGCUGGGAUAAUUGCUCUUCGGAGAGCGAAGAGGAGGAAUAUGGAAAGGCUGGUGUUAGUUUGUGGUGGGGAGGCUGUUAACUCUGUCGACGACUUGACUGAAGAUUGUCUUGGUUGGGCUGGCCUUGUUUAUGAACACGUCCUUGGGGAAGAGAAGUAUACUUUUGUUGAGAAUGUGAGAAAUCCUCAUUCUUGCACAAUAUUGAUUAAAGGACCUAAUGAUCACACUAUUGCUCAAAUUAAGGAUGCUGUUCGUGAUGGUCUCAGAUCUGUCAAGAACACAAUUGAAGAUGAAGCUGUUAUCCUGGGGGCCGGAGCUUUUGAAGUUGCUGCCAGGCAGCAUCUGG
rnacentral:misc_RNA from 1 species